CUGACUGAUGAGGGAAUUGUUCUACUGAGAUGAGGCUGAGCUUGGCUCAUGACAUCGUCGGGGCUCCGACAGCCUCAUCAAACAGAAUCCCGAGGAACCGGAAGCAGGGAGGAGGACCGACAGAUGAACGGAUGACCUGCUUGCUGGGCUUCCCAUUACUGAUUCUUGAAAGAAAUGAGGACCACUGACUGAUGAGAGAAUUGUCUUACUGAGAUGAGGAUGAGCCUGCCUCAAGCCAUCGUAAGCUGGGAGGACCGAUGAUGGACUGACACCGCCUGCUGGCCUGGCCAUUACUGAUUCUUGAGGACAUGAGGACCACCAAGCUUGGACGAGACUGGACAAUGACGAAGCUGCUCUACUGGACAAGGAUGCCCUCAUCGGAAACUUGAGUU